UACGUAGGGCGCAAGCGUUAUCCGGAAUUAUUGGGCGGAAAGAGCUCGUAGGCGGUUUGGCGCGUCUGGCGUGAAAGCCCGGAGCUCAACUCCGGGUCGGCCGUCGAUACUUCCGGGCUUGAGCACUGUAGAGGCAGAUGGAAUUCCGGGUGUAGCGGUGGAAUGCGUAGAGAUCCGGAAGAACACCGGUGGCGAAGGCGGUCUGCUGGGCAGUUGCUGACGCUGAUGCGCGACAGCGUGGGGAGCAAACAGG
rnacentral:rRNA from 1 species